GUGAGGGGGUGACUAGUGACAGAGUGAGGGAAGGGGUGACUUGUGGCAGAGUGAGGGAAGGAAGGCGUGACUAGUAACAGAGUGAGGGAGGUGGUGACUGUCACUAGUCACCAGCUCCCUCCUUCUGUCACUACUCCCUCCCUCCUUCUGUCACUAGUUACCCCCUCCGUCCCUUACUCUGUCACCAGUCAUCCCCUCCCUCUGUCACUAGUCACCCCCUCAC